AAGAGACUUACUCAGAUAUUAUACUCCGCAAAUACUUAGCAAACUGAAUUCAACGGAUAUCAAAUUUAACGUCAUAAAUUACUGUCCACGGUGGCGCUAAUCACAGCAGCAAUUCAACCGUCAAUAUCCAGCCAUUAGCAAUAUCAAUUCAGCAUCCAUGGCGAUUCAUGGAGAUUUGGGAGUCUUCGCAACACUAUCACCUCAUCAUCGGACUUAUCAUCUUCCUUUCAAGGCUUCCUUGCAUUCUUCUUCUUCUACUUUUAAGAAAUACUCCGUUGAAAUGGUCUUGAGCUUCAAACUUCAUCUGUCCAGGAAUACGAUGUACCAUGGAUUCCAGAUGUUUCCUCCCUUUAAAUUCCAAAGUGAUUUUGAUGGUUAUGCUGAUGCUACGACAUCCACAAAGGUAUUCUUUCCGUUGAAGAAUGGUGAUUCACUAGGAGAAAGUUUUCAAAAUUGCAUGUUUUUUACUGGAAGACCUGUUAUAAAUUGGAGAAAACACAGAAUAAAACUAGUGGCUCUCUGUGGGACUCUGAUAGAAAGUUCACAAAACGUGUUAGAGAAUGAUGCUAAGCGUAAAAAAGGGAAGUCUACAGAAAGGGUUAUGGAAACAUUGCAGUCAAUUUCCAACCCAACCAUGGCCUUUGAUUAUUUUAAAUCUGUAGCUGGGCUUCCUUAUGUUGCCCAUACCACUGAAACCUGUAAUUACAUGCUUGAAAUUUUGAGGACGCAUAAGAGAGUAGGAGAUAUGGUUAUUGUGUUUGACUUAAUGCAGAAUCAGAUAAUAAAUAGGAAUUCAACCACAUACUUGACAAUUUUUAAGGCCCUCAAUGUAAGGGGUGGAUUGAGGCGAGCCCCCGUUGCGCUUGAUAAAAUGGAAUCUGCUGGAUUUAUUUUGAAUGCUUAUUCAUACAAUGGGUUGAUUCAUUUUCUUCUUCAAUCUGGAUAUAGUAGGGAGGCUUUGGAGGUGUAUAAAAGAAUGCUUAUAGGAGGAAAUAAGCCUAGUUUGAAGACAUAUUCUGCACUCAUGGUUGCAGUAGGGAAACGGAGGGAUACUGAAACUGUGAUGGAACUGUUAAAAGAGAUGGAGAAUUUGGGAUUGAGGCCUAAUGUAUACACAUUUACUAUAUGCAUUAGAGUUCUCGGGAGAGCGGGGAAAAUUGAUGAGGCAUUUAGAAUUUUGAAAAGAAUGGAUGAUGAAGGGUGUGGAGCAGACGUCGUUACUUAUACAGUUCUCAUUGAUUCCCUUUGUGUUGCUGGAAAACUGGAGGAGGCAAAGCAUUUAUUUCUGAAGAUAAAAGACAGUUGUCACAAACCAGAUCGAGUAACUUACAUUACUCUUAUGGACAAAUUGAGCGAUUGUGGAGAUUUGGAUGGUGUACAUGAACUUUGGUGUCAGAUGGAAACUGAUGGCUAUCCUGCUGAUGUUGUUUCCUUUACCAUUCUCAUUAAUACUUUAUCCAAUGCAGGAAAAAUUGAUGAGGCGUUCACUAAACUAGACAUCAUGAGGGAACAAGGUAUUAUGCCAAACCUUCAUACCUACAACACACUGAUCAGGGGCCUCUUGAGAGAAAAUAGGCUAGAGGAAGCUUUAAGUCUGUUUGAGAGCUUGGAAUCUUUCGGUGUUGAACCCACUGCCUACACCUUUAUUAUGUUUAUAGACUACUAUGGGAAGUCAGGAUCAUCAAACAAAGCUCUUGAAACAUUUGAUAAAAUGAAAAGUAGGGGGAUUGUCCCAAGUCUGGUUGCCUGUAAUGCUUACUUGUUUAGUCUUGCUGAGGCUGGGAUGCUGAAGGAAGCAAAUGAUGUUUUUAAUGGACUUAGAAAAAGUGGGAUUGCUCCAGAUUCUAUAACAUAUAACAUGAUGAUGAAGUGCUAUAGUAAGGUAGGCAGGGUGGAUGACGCUGUUGAGUUGCUUGCCGAUAUGACAGAAAACGGAUGCCAACCUGAUGUGGCUGUCAUCAACUCACUUAUUGACAUGCUUUACAAGGUUGAUCGAUUCGAUGAAGCAUGGGAAAUGUACCGGAGAUUGAAGCAUAUGAAGAUUGCUCCAACAGUUGUAACUUACAACAUUUUACUCUCUGGAUUGAGGAAGGAAGGUAGAGUCCAACAUUGUAUCAAUUUAUUCACAAGCAUGAUGAAAAGUGGUUGUCAUCCAAACACGGUUACUUUCAACACGCUUUUAGACUGCCUCUGCAAAAAUGAUGAGGUUGAUAUGGCUAUAAAGAUGUUUUUUGAAAUGAGAAACAUGAAUUGUUUUCCCGAUGUGUUCACAUAUAAUACUCUUAUCUAUGGUCUAACAACAGAAAACCGAGCAUAUGAGGCAUUUCUGCUAUUCCACCAUAUGAGGAAAUCACUGUAUGCUGAUUGUGUAACUUUGUGUACUCUUGUUCCUGGUGUAGUGAAGAAUUCAAGAACUGAGGAUGCCAUAAAUAUUAUCAGGAUCUUUUUGUUUGAUCCUCAGGAUUGUGCAGACCGGGCAUUUUGGGAAGAUCUAAUCAGUGGGGUUAUUGUUCACACAAGCAUUGACAAAGCUAUGGCAUUUGCUGAAAGAUUAUUAUUAUCCGACCUUUGCAAAGAUGACUCAUUCUUAGUGCCUCUCUUCAAGGUUUUGUCCAAACACAAAAGGGCACUUGAAGCACGAGACUUCUUUGUAAGGGCUAGGAGCAGUGGAAUUAAGGUUACGUUGGAAGUGUAUAAUAUUUUGAUUGGAGGGCUUCUGGAUAUCAAUCUUCUGGAGAUGGCUUUGAGUCUCUUUGAGGAUAUGAAAAAAGUUGGUUGUAGCCCAGAUGUGUCCACAUACAAUUUGUUACUAGAUGCUUUUGGGAAAUCUGGCGAAGUUCAUCGGCUCCUUAGUCUUUAUGAAGAUAUGCAGAAUCGGGGUUGUACGCCCAACUCAAUUACUCACAAUGUCAUCAUAUCUGGCCUUGUGAAAUGUAAUAGCCUAGACAAGGCCAUCGAUAUGUUCUAUAAUCUUGUAAGCGGAGAUUUUUCGCCCACUCCGUGUACAUAUGGCCCUUUGUUAGAUGGAUUGGCAAAGUCAGGAAGACUGGAGGAAGCAAAAAAAUUCUUCGAGGAGAUGAUUGAUUAUGGAUGUGAACCUAAUUGUGCUAUUUAUAACAUUCUGAUUAAUGGUUUUGGCAAAUCGGGUGAUUUGGACACUGCUUGCACUUUGUUUAAAAGGAUGCUUAAAGAAGGAAUCCGACCCGAUGUAAAAUCUUACUCAAUUCUUAUCGACUGUUUAUUGACGGUAGGGGAAGUGGACGAUGCAUGGGAUUAUUUCGAGGAAUUAAAACAACAGGGCCUUGAUCCUGAUUUAAUAUGUUACAACCUUAUGAUGAACGGUCUUGGAAGAUCCGGAAGGGUUAGAGAGGCUCUUUCUCUUUUUAGAGAAAUGUGUAAAAGGGGGAUUUCUCCCGACUUGUAUACCUACAAUUCCUUGAUACUACAUCUGGGAAACGCACGUAUGAUGGAAGAAGCAGGAAAACUUUAUGACCAGCUAUUGCUUAAGGGCUUGGAGCCUAAUGUGUUCACAUAUAAUGCUCUUAUCCGAGGCUAUGGCAUGUCCGGAGAUCCUAACCUUGCAUAUGCUGUCUAUCAGAGGAUGAUGGCUGGUGGAUGUAGCCCCAACUUGGGAACCUUUGCACAACUUCCUAAUCAGUCUUGACUCUGGAAAAGAUAGUUCGGGGCUGAAUCUACGACUUCUCUUCAUCCUUACCUUAGCAACGAUCAGGAAAAAAAACUGCGAAAACUGUGAAGAUUCAGGCCUUUUGUACAGCAUAACAAGUAAUUUGCACUGGGAUCCCCUAUGCUUUCACUAUUACUGUCUUUUCUCCUGGUGAAAUUUAGAAUUUUGUAGUUCCUGGUAUUAAUGUAUAUUCCAUUUCCAUCUAUCUAUGCAUAUAUAUUUGUGCUGAA